UGGCCUCUUUCGGACGUUCCUCCUCUUUCGAUGUUGCCUACGUCACUGGUGACGCACGACUUCCGCUACGUCACGCGUACGCGCCGCCCAUCACCGUGUACUAUCUCUCCUUUCAGUCCCCGUGUUCACCUCGGCACACACGCCGACCAGAUAAAAACGAAAUUCCGAUUUUCACCGCCCACGAAGAGAGAUUCCUAGGCGUCGCUUCUUCUACUUCUUUCAUCCUCGAGAGCCGAACAACAUUCUCGUGCAGUUGCUUCUUGCAACGAUCGGCCGUUUACGCGGCGAUACUUUUGUUUUGCUUUCGGUUCACCGAGCGACUCGAGCAGACCGUAUUUUGACGAACGCGAAAGUUACCGAUCGUCUUUUUAUCGAGACACGUUCAAAACCGAUAAACAAGAGCGGCGGCUCGUUCACCGGUCAGACAUCGAUCCAUUGUUGGCCGGUAUACGGCGUCGUUUCCGUUUAAAGGGCUACAGAAAAGAGGCGAGCCAGUGUAACUCGACCUCAUUGAAGAAAGCUACCUGAAUCGUUUUAAAAGACUGCCACGAACCAGCCUGGCCAGGUUUCUUUUCGGCAAAGAGGAAAAUCGGUUUCGACAAGAACCCUUCCAGUAUCUUGUUUAAUCCGGCGAUAUCGAUAACCUUUGAUCGAAUUACCUUGACUCUCGCGUGAAGAACACAAACGUUCGAGCCGGCUAACGAUUAUCUCUGUCAAACGAACGAGUAGAUGGAGGGAGGCUGUUCGAGACAUUGAUCUAUGUCGUUCCUGACAGGAGAGAAAGACAAACAGCGAUCGAACAGAAGAAUCGUUUGAACGUUUCACGAUUAGUGCCGAUCGUGAUAAGAAGAAAGGGAGACAAAGAGAGGAAAAAGAAAGGGAGAAAGAGACGCGACAGGGACAAACAAGGAGCUGUUUCUAAACUUCGAACGGUGCCGCGGCUACGCUAGAAAAAAAGAAAGGGGAGCGCAAAGAAGAAAGGACAGCGAGGUGGAAACAGAGCUAGAAAGAAGGAGAGAAAGAGAACAGGGGGAAGGAGGAGGGAUGGAGCGAGUCCCUCUCUAUUGAUUUCCUGCCGAGGGUGGGCCAACGAAGGGAGGAUUAAGUAUCGGCUCUCUCGUUGCUGCUUUUCCCUCUCUGUCUCUCGUUCUCCCCUUUCCCCUUUUUCGCUCCUUUGCCGGCUCUGCAGCAAUUCGACCAGCACUUGCCCGAGACGGACAAAGAGGCACGAGAAGAAAGAGCAACGAUCAAGCCGAAAGGAGGAAGAGGAAAGAAACGAAAGAACGAGACGGAAAAAGGAACAACUGUGCGUAUUCCUCUUGGCUACGACUUCCACCUUCUCCCUCUCUCUCUCUCUCUCCCCCCCCUCAUUUUCCCUCCCACUCCUUCUUACACCCUCGUCCCUUCUCUCUUCGAUGCCACCAUGUCCAUUCGUUUUUCUCUGUCCUUGCCACGUUGUACACGCAUGUACCGAAUGUCGACGACUUUGUGGUGGUAAACACAGCCGCCGUAAUGCAACAUGGUACACGCUGGAGCGCGAACGCGGUGGGUCCCCGUAGCGCUGGCAGUGGCGACUAUCCGAUGGUGGAGAGUGCAGUCAGCGUGCUCGCAAUAGAAUGGUGAGAGUAAGGCAAACACACUGACAGUCAUAACGAUAGCGACUGCGGUAGGUACGUUGAGAGACAGCGACAUCGAAUACACACAGACAUACACAGAGUACAUACGCAGAUAGAUGGUGCGCCGAAAGAUAUAAGUAUUGGUGUCACAAGUACAGCCCCCGCCUGACGCUGUCUACGUUCGAUAGUAGCGGCAGCGAAAGUAGUAGUAGUAGUAGUAGUAGCAAUAGUAUUAGUAGUAGUAGUAGAGUAGUAGUAGUAGAGUAGUAGUAGUAAUAGUAGUAGUAGUGUAGUAGUAGUAGUAGUGUAGUAGUAGUAGUAGUAGUAGUAGUAGUAGUAGUAGUAGUAGUAGUAGUAGUAGUAGUAGUGUAGCGAGUACCAUAGUAGGAGUAGUAACACCAACGGGAUAGGUGCUGGUGGUAGUAAACUUGCGUACAAGCGACGUGACGUCAGAACCCGAGCAGCGUAACCCAUGAAUCCGCACCUCGUCCACUCCCUCCCACUACUCUGGGCCACCCUAACCGCUAACUUCCCUCGUGCAUCCAGAUACUAUCGAUAUUACUCCACUACGCGUAACGUAGACAAAUUAAUGGAGCAAGCUCGUCAAAGGGGCGGGCGCGUGGCGUCUGCUAAACCGUGAUUUCUUCGGGAUUUACAGGAUCUGCCUCGCGACUAUCUCUUCCGUAUUUACACGUUCGGAUCACACGCCAGCCACUCCGCAAAGAUUAUCCAGAUCAUUUCGGUCGAUUAAAUCAGUCGGUACAUUACGUCACGGAUAUUAAUUCUCGAAUCCGCGUAAUUUUAUCCCUUUCUCCCUUUCCCCUCCCCUCUCCCUUCCAUCCAUCCUUUCACGAUCGGUAUCGGCGAUCGGGUUUCGCGAAAGAUCGUUAGAUAUAUCUCGCGACAGCUUGCAAUGAAUUUCAUAGGCGGCAAAGUGAUUUAAACCAUAAUUCACCGUCGUCUACUUUCCGUUCUAUCACCUACCGCCUUCCGCCAACCUAGAUAUCGCCGAUAUUAAUGGACCGACCGUGGCAAACCAGUUGACGCUGAGUUACAAGGUAUCAGAGAUUACAGCGAUUAGUUUGCACCGUGGUUACCUCGAUAUUCCUAUCCGCUGCUAUCGUCAUUCCCGUGUACAGCGAAUUAGUCGCUAACGCACAGGCGUCUCUAAUAAAAAUCUGGCGCUAUCGAGUUUGUAAUUUGACAGGGACGAUCGUCCGGAUCGUGAAGGUAUCGAAAUACCUUCGAAUCUAGAUGCAUCGAACUGUAUUUUUCCCAGCACCCGGUAUAUAUCGUUGACGUAACUUACGCUACACGAAGAGUCAAUUAACGGGAACUGUUUUAUCGGAUCAGCGUCGAUCAAGUUCCGACCACAAUGGCGAGGAACGCGAACAGAUCGCGGCGUAAACGUUGGCACGUGGGAUUACGAUGACGUUUCAACGAAUAUUACAUUUCAUUUACAAUUAAUAGGGUGUAUUUAUUUGCGUGGCUGGCGCGCGCACACCCCACAGUCACGCGUGCCAACCAGACGUUAUCGAUUCAAUAACACGCGGCCGAACAAUGCCACAGGAUCUAACGCGAUUCCGUCGCUCCAUUUAAUACGAUUUAUCGACGAUACCUCGAAUUAUUCAGCCAAUACGCGACGAAGGACGAAUUCUUUUAGUAAAUUAAACGAACGAUUAAAACACUCUACAAUUCAUCUGUGUUUAAUGGGUAUAUUCUCACCUCGUUUAACGUAAAAUUAUUCCCUCCGACUCUUGAAAUUAGUUUCACGGUUGAAAUUGGAGCGAGAGUCGCCGUUAUCAUUGACCCGUGAUCUCUGACUCGAUCGAAUACGAAAAAUAAAAUUGCUAUAGGUAGCCUUCCGCUCAAAACUGUGAGAUUGUCAUAAUGAAAUUGGCGAGGCUUGCCCGUUUCCCGCGAGCCAUGAAAAUGGCACCAAAUUUCAAUUUACCUAUAUAUAUAUAUAUAACUCUUUAACAUUUUGGUCCGAUAAACGACUAAAUAUAGUGCGUCCAAAAAGUCAUCGCACGUAACGCAGUUAUAAAUGUUAAUUUCUCACAGAAAGUUCAAAAUGUAUCAUUUUUGUAAUGCGAUAGUAAAACUAUAGGAAAUCUUGAGAACACGCGGACAAUUAUUUUCUAGUACGUUCAUUCUGAAUUCUCUAUCGUUUUAUCGCACGUUCAAGAAAUUAAUACGAGGAUUAGAUUCGCUAUUUCAAUUCGUAUAUCUAACGUCUCUUAUACUGGUCUGCCAAUACGUUCAAGAAACAAGAGUACUCGGUAGAAAUACGUAAGAAUCCGCGAUUUCUAUAGAGCGUAGGGCGUUGCUCCGUAAUAGACGCGCAGCGAACUCAAACACGAAUUCACCAAACGAGAAACUUUGCCUUUGCUACAAUUCUACUAGUCCGAUCUGGCAGUAGUUUCAUCGCUACAUCGCUUUGACAUCGCGCGUUUUGAUUCGCCGAUAGAUCGUGGACAUUGGUUUAUCGCCAGCGUCAUAACCCUUUAGACGCGAAGGAAACCAAUUAAAGCAACUACCAUACAUCGAGGGACGUAGGCCGGAACCGCGGUCAUGAAUUUACGAAGCAUGUUGCACUUACGGUUUGCACGCUCGUUUCACGUCAUCCGCAUUCUCUGACGCUUCUAUUUUUACCUUAUUAUUAUUUUCUCUUUUCUCUCACGUUUCUCGUUUAGCAAUGAACAAUAGCGACAGCACGAUGCGUCAAAGAUGCAACAAGAAUUUCGAUAAGGGCAGCUAAGGAAACGAACGGCGAGUAUCUACCGCAAGGGCUGAACUUUCGAACGAUCUUAUCGAUUUCCAGUGGGAACACGGUCACGCACAGAUGCGCAAAAUGAAUCAAGAAGAAAGGGACGAAACGAUAAUGCACCGUCGUCCACGAUACUGCACCAUUGAUUUAGUAGUGGUUAUCCGAGCUCCCCUAGCACACCGACAAUGACUCAUAGUUGCUCGUCUGUGUCGUUAAACACGAUUCUUCGGCCGCGAAUGCAUCCACGCGAAGAGAUGCUCUUAGAAAUUUAAACGAUAGCCAUUCUGCGCGUCUACGCGCUGCUUUUAUUCGCUGCCCCGUUAUUCGAGCAACUGCGCGAACCAAUCGGUCGACGCUCGAAAACAUUCAACGUUGAUUCUGAUAAGAGCGCUAUCUUUGACAUCUGACGAGUUCGCUUUCAUUCGAAUCGUUCUCGAUUUGAAAAAAAAAAAAAACCUAUAUAGCGCGUAUGCUUUCCCUCGCGUAGCGUAGCCACUGAGGCAACGAAGGUAGCCGCAACGUUUAGACGUUAAAUAAAGAAAUUCCAAGAGAAAAAGGGAAAAGAAGAGAUCGAGGAUAGGCUGUUAAAAAUCAAGUAACGAGAAGUUGCGACGUGAUUGUGCGCCGAGACAUCGAUACGUCGAAGAUGACAGAUAGAGAAUGACGAGGACGAAGAGAAAAAAAGAAGCAAUGUCUUUGUCGUGGGAAAAGACAGUGGGAUGACCCCACGUAUACGAGACAUUCUGCCUUGCGACGAGUAUGUGGGUCGAGAAAUGCCGUACGCGCUAAAUAUAUAUCGGGCGCAUACACGCACGCAACUUUUGCGUAUCAAGGCGUCCAAGAAGUCAGAAGAAAGAGGGUCAUCAGAGGCAACAAGAAAGGAUCGUUUCUUUCUUUCUUUCGAGCACGCGAUGAGAAGAGAAAAAACAAGAUCGUGCUCUAUGUCAGAUUUUUUCCUCUUUCUUGGCGUUCGCGCGAAAGAGAAAGGAGUCGAAGGAGGAGACGACCGAACGCUGGGUAAAGCGACUCUGCCGCGGAGAAAUCGAUUCGUCAAUCUGUCAUGGCCGGGACCUUUGCAUCCGGUGCCGGUAUGCAUGUUAUUUACGUGCCUUCCGAAAAUCUCGUUCCAGUCAUUUUCCAGCCACCACGUGCACCGCUUCCACGAAGCAAUCGAGGAGUUCGAAACGAAACGCUCGUCCGAACGAAAACGUACCGUACGAAAUGUAUUCGCCCUCCAACCAUGGUUACGAGCUUUUAAUAAUAAGAGCAUCGCACGAGCUUCUUUACGGUUUCUCUUUCUCUGCUUUUCUCUUUCGCGUUGCACUCUGUCUAGCACGGUGGUCCUUUUCGAGAUAGAUAGCGCGAUUAUGUAGUGCGUGCGGCGUCAACGUUUAAUUAUACAACCCCCGACAGUUAAUUAGCAAGUUAAUGGAGGAAAAGAGGAGAAAGAGAAGAAAGAGAAGCGUGGAAUAGGACGAGAAGGUCAUAAUCAAGCAGAACGAGCAAAGAAAACAGUAUAGAAGCGAGCAGCGAUCGUUGGCUCUGAACCUAAAUGAGGGAGCCAAGGUUGAGCGCGAAACGAUGCCUCGAACGACCGACCGAACGAAACGAAAACUCGCGCAGCUACUUUUAACGUUCGACGGUCCUUUCUCGUUUGUUUACCCGAGAAUUUACCGACAGCUGGUAACUGACCUCGUGCAAAACACGAAUCACGUUGCUCCGCACGAGGAAACCACGCAAAAUUGAUACUGAUGAUGCAAUCUCGAGCAAACAGCGGACUACAACAGCGAGACGUGGAAACUCUGUAGGAAAAAAAUUUACGUUCUAUCCGAGUGGAAACAUCGGCUUCGAUUUUUACUACUUUUUUUUCUUUUCGUCGCAUCUGCAUUGGAAAUUGAAACGAUAAAUUAAGCGAACGACGAUAGACAGGAACGUUCGUGCCACGGAUCGUUUGGCGAACGCAGGCUCGGUUCUCGGGAAAAUGGACGGCUAUAAGCAGAUUCGAAAAAGAAGAGUUAAGAGAGACGAAAUACAAGUAGCUCUCCUCUGCGAUAGCCUGCAACGAGGGUGAAGGUUUACGGCGGAAUUAUAAACAGCCGAAGUUACGAGGCUUGGAAACUUACAAGAAAUACUUCAAUAAAAACAUUUACGAUACAGCAGUCAUCGAAAUCGAAAACAACAAAACAUUCCCUUCCCUCCCAAUUGCAAUUUGAAAUAUUCUCAACAAACAGUGCUGGUAUACUACUCGGGAUAGAAGAAUGGUAUCAAAGGUCAAACACGAGUUCGACACGAUCAGACGUAGCAAGGGAGAAAAGAUAUGAAAAUCGGGCAAACGAUUCGAAUAACUUUACGAUUACUUCAGUAAACGAGAAGGUAUUGCACGUAUAAGAACUAAUAAUAUCUACAUACGCUAUACACACGUACUUAUGAUAAUUACAAUUGAGAAUAUUAACAUUAACUAAUAACAAACAAACUUCUUACCGUUUUGAUAAGCAAAAGUUACAUGCUUUUAGAAAAUUAUAGCCGUCAAGCUGUCAGUGUAUAGCAUAUACAGGGUGGUUGGUAACUGGUCGUGCAAGCGGAAAGGGGGUGAUUCUACGCGAAAAAAGAAGUCGAAAAUAUAGAAUAAAAAAAUUUUUUUUUUUAAUUUUUCCAUCGAGACAACGAUCUACGGUGAAAUCCGUUAUAACGAGACGUGAUAAAGUGCACGCGUACCGAGCCAAAAUUCAAAGUCGAUUUUCACGAAAACAAAGCCUCAAACGAAAAAUUUGUAUUCUAUAUUUUCGACUUCUUUUUUCGCGUAGAAUCACCCCCUUUCCGCUUGUACCACCAGUUACCAACCAUCCUGUAUAUUACUGUCUAUCACAAUCAACGAUGAUAAGUUAGUUUAUCUUCUAGCGUAGAUUACUUAAAAAUUGUUCAUAAACAAUGGCAUAUUACUUAACUCAAAUGAAAUAUUCUUUUGAAACGAAUAACCUUAUUUUAUCUCGAGGGACAUCGUUGGUCGAAUCGACGGUUUGAUCGUGGAGUCCAGGUGAAUCGAAACAAUCAUCGGAUAGUUUAACGCAGAGGAGUUGGUCGAGCGGUUGGUUCAUUGGCCAGACCACUUGUCGCCUUGAAGGCAGUCUCGCCUGGUGUUACAUUCGUAUUCCGCUUGUAACGCGACUUGCCCCGAAUGCUGAUAAUUUAAUAACACGGUCGUAAUUUACGAUAAACCGAUUUUCUCUUAAUUGCUUUAUCAUUCGCGUUACUGCGUCACCGUCUGCGAUCGCUCGCUCGGUCUUUUGGAGCGGAGAGAGACUCUCAGCCGACCCAAAGUAGGAAACCUCGGAAAGGAGAGAGAGAAGAACAUCCGCGAGGAGUUUUAGAGCGCAGAGACUGCUUCGAA